UGGGGAAUAUUGGGCAAUGGGGGGAACCCUGACCCAGCAACGCCGCGUGAAGGAAGAAGGCCUUCGGGUUGUAAACUUCUUUGACAGGGGAAGAAGGAAGUGACGGUACCCUGAGAACAAGCUCCGGCUAACUACGUGCCAGCAGCCGCGGUAAUACGUAGGGAGCGAGCGUUAUCCGGAAUUACUGGGUGUAAAGGGCGCGUAGGCGGGCAGACAAGUCAGGUGUGAAAUGCAGGGGCUCAACCCCUGAUGUGCACUUGAAACUGUACGUCUUGAGUGAUGGGGAGGCAGGCGGAAUUCCCGGUGUAGCGGUGAAAUGCGUAGAUAUCGGGAGGAAAACCAGUGGCGAAGGCGGCCUGCUGGACAUCAACUGACGCUGAGGCGCGAAAGCGUGGGGAGCAAACAGG
rnacentral:rRNA from 2 species